rnacentral:rRNA from 1 species
GAACGCUGGCGGCGUGCUUAACACAUGCAAGUCGAACGGUGAACCAGAGCUUGCUCUGGGGAUCAGUGGCGAACGGGUGAGUAACACGUGGGCAACCUGCCCCAGACUCUGGGAUAACCUCGGGAAACCGAUGCUAAUACCGGAUACGACCACUUCGGACAUCCGACGGUGGUGGAAAGUUUUUCGGUCUGGGAUGGGCCCGCGGCCUAUCAGCUAGUUGGUGGGGUAAUGGCCUACCAAGGCGACGACGGGUAGCCGGCCUGAGAGGGCGACCGGCCACACUGGAACUGAGACACGGUCCAGACUCCUACGGGAGGCAGCAGUGGGGAAUAUUGCACAAUGGGCGAAAGCCUGAUGCAGCGACGCCGCGUGAGGGACGACGGCCUUCGGGUUGUAAACCUCUUUCAGCAGGGACGAAGCGAAAGUGACUGUACCUGCAGAAGAAGCACCGGCUAACUACGUG